GAGUUUGAUCAUGGCUCAGAUUGAACGCUGGCGGCAGGCUUAACACAUGCAAGUCGAGCGGGGAGANGUAGCUUGCUACAUUACCUAGCGGCGGACGGGUGAGUAAUGCUUAGGAAUCUGCCUAUUAGUGGGGGACAACAUUCCGAAAGGAAUGCUAAUACCGCAUACGCCCUACGGGGGAAAGCAGGGGAUCUUCGGACCUUGCGCUAAUAGAUGAGCCUAAGUCAGAUUAGCUAGUUGGUGGGGUAAAGGCCUACCAAGGCGACGAUCUGUAGCGGGUCUGAGAGGAUGAUCCGCCACACUGGGACUGAGACACGGCCCAGACUCCUACGGGAGGCAGCAGUGGGGAAUAUUGGACAAUGGGCGNAAGCCUGAUCCAGCCAUGCCGCGUGUGUGAAGAAGGCCUUUUGGUUGUAAAGCACUUUAAGCGAGGAGGAGGCUACUUGGAUUAAUACUCUAGGA
rnacentral:rRNA from 1 species